AGAGUUUGAUCAUGGCUCAGAAUCAACGCUGGCGGCGUGCCUAACACAUGCAAGUCGAACGCGAAAGUGGAGCAAUCCAUGAGUAGAGUGGCAAACGGGUGAGUAACACGUGGGUGACCUGCCUUCGAGUGGGGGAUAACGACCCGAAAGGGUCGCUAAUACCGCAUAACAUGCUGUCGUCAAAGAGAUGGACAUCAAAGCCGGGGAUCGCAAGACCUGGCGCUUGGAGAGGGGCCCGCGUCUGAUUAGCUAGUUGGUAGGGUAAUGGCCUACCAAGGCAACGAUCAGUAUCCGGCCUGAGAGGGCGGACGGACACACUGGGACUGAGACACGGCCCAGACUCCUACGGGAGGCAGCAGUGGGGAAUUGUUCGCAAUGGGCGCAAGCCUGACGACGCAACGCCGCGUGGAGGAUGAAGAUCUUCGGGUCGUAAACUCCUGUCGAGCGGGAAGAACACUUUCCGGGUGAACAAUCCGGGAGGCUGACGGUACCGCUAAAGGAAGCCCCGGCUAACUCCGUGCCAGCCGCCGCGGUAAUUC
rnacentral:rRNA from 1 species